rnacentral:misc_RNA from 1 species
GUCGUUUUGUCGUUUUGUGCAUUUCUGGUUUCCUGAAAGCAUUUUUGGUUCUGAUUUUCUGUAGUUGACAGUAAUUUAAUGCCCUAUUAGUGCCAAAUUUAACUUGAAAAGCAACAAUAAUUUGUAUGCUUUUAAAUUCAAACUCUUCCUCGAAUUCCUCCAAGCAAACAGCCAUAUGCAUUUGGAUUUUUCUUCCAUAUUUUGAUAGUACAUAGUAGAUCUUCCAUUUGAU